GAUGAACGCUGGCGGCGUGCUUAACACAUGCAAGUCGAACGAGAAGUGAAGACGGAACCCUUCGGGCGGAAGGCUUUAUUUCGAGUGGCGGACGGGUGAGUAACGCGUGGGUAACCUGCCUCAUACAGGGGGAUAACAGUUGGAAACGACUGUUAAUACCGCAUAAGACCACAGCACCGCAUGGUGCGGGGGUAAAAACUCCGGUGGUAUGAGAUGGACCCGCGUUCGAUUAGCCAGUUGGCGGGGUAACGGCCCACCAAAGCGACGAUCGAUAGCCGAUCUGAGAGGAUGACCGGCCACAUUGGGACUGAGACACGGCCCAAACUCCUACGGGAGGCAGCAGUGGGGAAUAUUGCAUAAUGGGGGAAACCCUGAUGCAGCGACGCCGCGUGAGUGAAGAAGUAUUUCGGUAUGUAAAGCUCUAUCAGCAGGGAAGAAAAUGACGGUACCUGAGGAAGAAGCCCCGGCUAACUACGUG
rnacentral:rRNA from 1 species